AUUGAACGCUGGCGGCAGGCCUAACACAUGCAAGUCGAACGAGUGGCGGACGGGUGAGUAAUGUCUGGGAAACUGCCUGAUGGAGGGGGAUAACUACUGGAAACGGUAGCUACUACCGCAUACCAUCAGAUGUGCCCAGAUGGGAUUCGCUUGUUGGUGGGGUAACGGCUCCCCAAGGCGACGAUCCCUAGCUGGUCUGAGAGGAUGACCAGCCAAGCUGGAACUGAGACACGGUCCAGACGCCUACGGGAGGAAUCAGUGGGGAAUAUUGCACAAUGGGCGAAAGCCUGAUGCAGCCAUGCCGCGUGUAGGAAGAAGGCCGUCGGGUUGUAAAGUACUGUCAGCAGUGAGGCGUGACCCGCAGAAGAAGCACCGGCUAACUCCGUGCCAGCCGCCGCGGUAAUAC
rnacentral:rRNA from 1 species